rnacentral:rRNA from 1 species
AUUGAACGCUGGCGGCAGGCCUAACACAUGCAAGUCGAGCGGAUGACGGGAGCUUGCUCCUGGAUUCAGCGGCGGACGGGUGAGUAAUGCCUAGGAAUCUGCCUGGUAGUGGGGGACAACGUUUCGAAAGGAACGCUAAUACCGCAUACGUCCUACGGGAGAAAGCAGGGGACCUUCGGGCCUUGCGCUAUCAGAUGAGCCUAGGUCGGAUUAGCUUGUUGGUGAGGUAAUGGCUCACCAAGGCGACGAUCCGUAACUGGUCUGAGAGGAUGAUCAGUCACACUGGAACUGAGUAACGGUCCAGACUCCUACGGGAGGCAGCAGCGGGGAAUAUUGGACAAUGGGCGAAAGCCUGAUCCAGCCAUGCCGCGUGUGUGAAGAAGGUCUUCGGAUUGUAAAGCACUUUAAGUUGGGAGGAAGGGUUGUAGAUUAAUACUCUGCAAUUUUGACGUUACCGACAGAAUAAGCACCGGCUAACUCUGUGCCAGCCGCCGCAGUAACAC